UCCCAAAGGUCGCGGGUUCGAUUCCCAUUGUGGUCAGGCAAGCUUGCCCGGUGUGGAUGCAUCACUCAGAGUAACAACACAAACAGCAAAUAUAUUUUGUUCUACCUCCCGUUCUAAAAUUUCGUUAAGUCAGUAACCUGCCAUUGCCCUUGCAAAAACAGGUCAGCUAGAACUAUUUGAAGCAUUGCAAUCAAGUCAAACAAAAACGUUCUGGCAAAGUGUCCAGCAUUUGAGGGCAUUUUCCUCGACAAACGUAUGCUUGUGAUAUCUUAAGGUAAAGUAGUUUUUUUCAGGAGGUUGUGGAUAACAUUUUAAAGUGCAGAGAAGUCCAUAUAGAGUCAAUUAUCAGCAGUUUCUAAGUUUUCAAUCCAGUAAGCUCUAUAUAUAUCUGGAGCAAGAACUUCGGUCAUUCGGCCAAUAAGAAAAGUGAAGAUGGCGGCCAUUAACGUCCAAUAGCUCUGAAGAUUUUAAACAUCAUUUUCCCAGUGACUGUUUCGCUAAUCAAGUUAUCAUUUCAUGAAACCAGUGUUAUUCUUUCAAUCAACGUCAAAAUACGAAAUUUCGCCACAAUCCUUGCAGGCUGCGCAGCAAAAACAAUAGAAAGGGACUGAAACUGACGGCCAGUAGCUCCAUCUUUAGCUUCGUGUUUCGGACUUGAGUUCUCACUCCAGACAUAUAUGGAGCUCGCACUGAUUAAACCACGACCUCCCUCCUCCCUCACCGUUCCUCGCCUCGUGUACACUGGACUGGGAUAAGGUAUUAAUCGACUGUAACGUUGUAACGUUCCAGUUUGUUUUGAGUUCAGUGCUAUGUAUACGUACAAUAAUUUACAAUAAAAGAAUACCAAAUGGUUUUCCGUGCUGGAUAGCGUCAUCCAUGCACGCGGGAUGUUGCGAGACUUUCCGAAAGUCGAACAACAUGCCAAGUGCAUGGAUGACGCUAUUCCGCAUGGAAAACCAUUUGGUAAUUGUUUUGUAAAGUAACUAACAGCGAAGCAACGGUUAAGUUUAUUAAAACGUCAACCGUUCAUUGUUAUUUAUAAACGGUUAACGUUUUUAUAACUUUAUUAACGUUUUUGUUAACUUGUCUCUCGUUUAAGGUGGCUCGAUACAGUUUUCAAAAAUUCAGAUGUUUAACACUUUGACAUGUUCAAACUACGCAUUUUUAGGAUUUAGUCAGCAGAUAUUGGGUUUUUUAUAUAUUUUGAUAACUCUACUUUCAAAUUUUAAUAACAGAUAGUUCGUUGCUAUGACGACAUACGUGUACGAAAUUCACUCCAAAAUGGUCUAUCGUCUCGUAUAGUUGGAAAAAAAGCAUGGUGAUCCCCAAUUUUUUUUCGUGCAUUAUUUUACUUGGACGAAAAGCUAACAAUUAGCAAAAUAUAAAAAAUUCUGUAAUGCC